GGACUUACGUAAUUCACUGGUGUGGUAGCACUGUAGAGCAGUAACCUUAUCAACGUUAAAUAUUAUAUGUUCUUAGCUCAGUUAUAUAGAAAAGUUGAAGUAUAAAAUUUGGAGAUGAUUGAAAAGAUUACACCGCUAACUACUAUACUAACGGUUUGGAUCGGCUGGAUAAUGUAUACAACAACGUUCGAUUAUCGAAGACAUCGCUUCUGCACAAUGCCUUUUACGUAUACCUCUUAUAAUUCUGAUGCUCGCAAAAGAGAAGUGGAAGUAUUGGGUAGAGUGUACAAAUUCGGAGACAAUCUAAGCAUGAAAGAAGGAAAGUGAAGCAUAAAAGUUCUUUAUAUCAUUAUAAUAUAUUUAAUAGUAUAUAUGUAUAUAUCAAGAAUUAUAGCUGUUGUAGUUAUAACAACAUUCAAUAAACCACAAUAUGAAAAAUAUAUUUAUUUUUAAUCAAUAUAUGUGAUAUAUUUUGGAUAAUGUAAGUUUAUGUAACAUAUUUGCAAUGUGACAAAGUUUUUUUGACCUAUGAUUUUAAAUUUUAAUGUAAAUUUUAUAUGUUACAUUUUUAUGCUUUGAAAAUAUAUACAUCAAAUAACGAGAAAAGGUAAACGAAGAGGAAUUAGGUAUUAAUUAAAAGAGAAAUCAGGUAUUUAGCAAUUUAUUUUUUUUAUUCUUAUACUUAAUUGUUUGACUGAAAUGUCUUUAUACCAAGAAGUCUUGUUCUAAAAUAAAUUGAAUGAAAUAUUAUUUAGUAAUAUUAACGUUAAAUUUAAUAAAAGGAGGUAUUCAAGUAAAAUAUUUUGAGAUUGAUUGAUUUUGAUGUUUUAUUAGAUUUUUGUGAAUUACCUUCCCCUGAGACAGCCCAUUCCUUUAAGAAAGCCAUCCUUUUCCUAUCUCUUAACAUUUAUCAUCUUAUAUCGCAUAAUUUUUGUUCCACUGUCCAUUUAAGAGCACCCAUUGGAUAUGAUAAAUUUAUAUGAAUGAAAAUUUAGACAAGCUGUGCAAAUGGUUAAUAGAAUGAAUAAACAUAAAGUUAAAUAUUUUAUAUCCGAAUAUAUCAUUCGUUAAUGUUAUUAGAUAAUUGUAUCAACAUUGUUUGAUUAAAUUCUACUUUGUGGAGACACAAUGAUUGAAUGUUACAUAGUGGUUCCUCUCUUGAGAGAUUAAUUAAAGUAUAUUAUGGUUGUUUACUUUGCAUACAGAACAAAUACCAUGACAAGGAAAAUCUUGCCUAAAAAAAUUGCGCCUCCGCAAUGUACAAUAAAUAAUGGCGUCUUAGAUACUAAGCUUUAUUAACAUUUACAAAAGAAAAGCAGGUAUUCUAUGAAGUGCUAUUUCUUUCAUUUAACAGUAUUUUCUUUCGGAUAGAGUAUAGUAUCCGGAUUGCAAUAUUUUUAAUCUGAAUGCGUCUUUUUGUGGAUACUUUACGUUGCUAAAGCUGAAAAUGAGAGUCAUUUUUCACGGAAAUAACGAUUUUAAAAAUUCAGACUUAUGAACAUUUGCCAGACAAAGAUCUUAACAUAAAUCCGCGUAAGAUGAUUUUAUAAAGCGUUAAGAGGUAGGUUUACAAAACAACUGAUGGCACAGCCAUCAAUGCUAAUGCUACAAAUGCCAAUUUUGCCGCUUACCGCAUACCGUUUUCUGUAUGAAAAUAAAAAAUAAGUUUAUUUCUGUGGAAAAUAACCCUUAUUUUCUGUUUCAAUGACCUCAAAAACCGCUAAUAACUGUCAUUCUAACUGAAUAUUUUCCAGUUCGGAUACUAUACUGAGCCUUCGUUUCAUGUAAUAAACAGGGAACUGUAAAACUCCAUUCGGAAUAUACAUAUGUCAAAUGAAAGUAGAAAAUGUGAAAGAAUAACACGUGAUGAGAAAGUAUACAUAGCAUACAUGUAAGCAUAAGUAUACAUACAUGUAACAGACAGAACAUAAUAACAAGACCAUUGCUAUACCCAGAACAUAAGAAUUUUUAAGUUCAACAAACUGUGUAUUUAGAAAAUGCUUCAUUUUGGUUGAUGCUUCGCGUCCCAACAAGAUCUAUUUAUAUGUAUGUAUGUUUUGUAAGUGAAUCUUGUGAAAAUUACAUAAAGACACGUAGUUAUGUCAAAGUCAUCGGAUAUUUGCUAAUUUGCUGAAACACGAGGCAACAUCAGAUUGUGAAUUUAUAGCGUGACCGUGUACAUAUUAUGUAUGUACAAGUGUUAUACUACAUAUACAUAUAUACAUAGGUUGACGCAUAUAAAAUGUUGCAAGUUAUUUGGGACUAGUGUGGAUAACAGUAAAAUUUUUCUAGAUACUAAAUGAUUUAAGGUAUAUGUUACGUACACUUGUAUGAUACGUUUUCUCUGUCUAAAAUCAUUAAAUGCCAGAAAUCAAUUUGGCGCUAUUCCUAGCAAUUUCAAUGUGACAACUUGAAGCAUUUCAUAUGAACCAUUUAUAUGUAUAUAUAGAUAUAUAUGUAUAUAUAUGUGCAACUGUAUAUGCAAUAUAUUUUGCGUUUAUACGGUUAUAUUUUACAUAUGAGCAUAUUGUUAAUGCAGAAAUUAUAAAUUACAAAAAGAUAGCCGAGACAAUAAACGGACGCUUCGUAUAACAUGAAGAUCCAUGUCGUAAUAUACAGUGAUAACGAUGAUAAUGAUUGUAGCAAGAAGAGAUAUGAUGAAAACAAUAGCAACAACGAUUAGAUGUAUGAGCAUUGUUUUCUUAUUGAUUUGUUAACUAUCAGACGAAAAUCCAGAGGUCUCUAAUAAAACUUACGAAAUGAUAAUUAUGGUUCUUACCUAAUAUUAGCUAGUAUCGAAAGUAGAAAUUUUUAAUGAAAAUUAUUACAAUGUGUAUUUACUAGAAGAGAGAUUACUAAGGUCAUUUCAUAAACAAAGCAUUUUAUAUGUAUUUUACUCUGACAUGCGUCAAUUGUAUUUGAACACUUUUGUACAAUUGAACACUGACGUAUAAAAGCAGCAUCGAUUGAAAUAAAAUUAGACAAAAUCAGAUGUUAUUAAUUAAACACGAGUCCUCUAGAUUGUCGAUGAUCUGUAUUCAGUAAAUUUCGUAUAGUAAUUAUGGUGAUAAAACAUCGAGUCACAUCUUAAAUUUUAUCUAAUAAUUUGUGAUAAUGAAGUUACUUCGAUUGUACCUUUCACGUAAAAUACGACGAUAUGGAAUGUGGCACAAUGAUUCAACGACGAUAAAACUCUGGUCAACUUUCCUCGUUUGCCUUUUAUUCGCACUCUUAUACUCCAUUUAAUUACUUCAGUUGAUCGACAGACACCACUGUAACAAUCUUUUUCGUAUUCACAUUUAGUUCGCGUAAUUCUUGAAUAGCAUUGUCACUUAAUAAUUCUUUCUUCCGUUGGCUUAUACUAUAUCACGUCAUACACAUUUCCUAAUUUAUCGAUCGAAUCUUAUUAACGUUUGCACACGUCGCCAAACAAAAUUACCUCUUUCGUAAAAUUUGUUUAAGGAUGACUCAUCAUUAUAUACAAAUGAUUACAACCAAUUUCACAUAUAUAAUUUUAUCCCUUAUGUUGUUACAAACUAAUCACGAUGCACGUUAGUUUGUAAUUUGCACCAGAAAAAUUUAAGAACUUUAAUAAUUGUUGGAAGUUUGAAAAAAGAAGCCAUUACGUAUAGAGCUAUUUCUCUAAAAUGGAGAUGAAAAACAUUAUUAAUGGUAAAAUAUAUUCAUUUCCUUAAUCUCUUUUUUCUUACAAGAACAUGAAGUAAGGAUGACAAUAAUGUAUGUAUGCGUGUGUGUAUGUACGUCGAUCAAAUAUGAUGAAAUCUGCGUGAUUUCAAAAUUGUUCGAUGACGUAUGUAUACGUAUGUCUGGAGAAGUACGGCAAGAAACGACGAUGAAUUUCAUUAGAAUUAACGAUAAUAAUUAUCUCGGCUAGGAUUAUCAGAUAAUUAAUAAUAAUGUUGAAUAAAUAGAACAAAAACGUGGACGAAAAUCAAUCGAUGAAAUAACAAGUUCGAAAAAAUACCUGCCAAUGCUGGCGUCGCGUGCGUCGAUCGAUUAAGAGAGAUAAAUUCUUCAAGAGUAGAAUCGCAACGUAAAAUCAUGCACACACGUUCAGAGCUACUUAGAUGAAAAAGGCUUCAAUUAUACAAAUGGUUCAAAGAAUAAUAAGCUUUUCAUGCGAGUGAAUGAACGAAAGAUAAACGUUUAUUAAUAAAGAUCUGGGUUUAUACGUAUUAUUAUUUUUUCUUGUGUCGAAUGUGCGUGUUUGACUCUGAUACAAUUGCUUUUAGGUUCACCUAUGUAUACUCAGAGGCUGCGCAACGGUAUGCCGUAAUUAUAACUCUUUUUCCUCAUCGUUCGCUUGGUUUUGCGUUAAAAAUUUUGAUAAUAACAAUGGUACACUCUUUGCGGGGAUGAUGAAAAUGUACUCAUUACUCGUUGAGAUAUAAUACCUAAUAAUCACGCAGUCAUCCGCACGUACGCACAGAAUUACGUGUUCCGUACACAUUAUUGUUUUCUUUUUUCAAAUGCGUCUGGUCGCAUGAUUACAAAUUUAUUCCUUAAUAUGCUUUACUUACGAAACACAAACAUUCUGCCAUUUUUUUAAAUAUAUUUGUUAAGUACAAUUAUAUACGCGUCGUACGAUUUUUCAAGCAUAGUAUUGUCAACAAUUGUGUAUAUAUUUGUUCUUUUUUCCUUUUCCCCUUUCGUUUGUUAAAUGGUUUCUUCUGCUACACGUCCUCACGAUACAGCAAUCUGAAGUCUAGUUUUUCGAAUGAUUUCUUUUUUUUGGUUUUGCAUCCAUGGUCAGUUACUGAACGCAAAAGUUCGCGGUGACAUCUCGCGCUCUCGUCGAACAAGAACUACGAACACUUGACCUUGUUCCAUAAUAUACGCGUCCCAAUCUUUUUUCUUCCGAUUAGAUGUUCUGUGAAAAGAAUGAUGGAUCGAUUCGUGCAACGAGACGUUUAAUCACAGGAAGAAAUAUUUACGGGUUUUGAAUCUUUUUCACGACUGUAUAAAUAUAAAUGUUUAAACGUUCGUAAUAUAUUAAAGUGAUCUAUGGGUAUACGUUCUCAUUAUGUAAGGAUAGUAAUACAUUCCGUUUCCCACUUUUUUCUUCAGUACUGGUUUUUUUAACCCUUUAGGGACUGUUCCUUUUCAUCUUUUUUUCAUCUUUUCUCUCAUAUUUAUAUAUAUAUGUUUUUUUUAAAUUCAAAGUUAUUCAAAGUAAUGAAAUUCAUAGACUAAAGUCUAGUUCUAUUAUUAAACACUCAUCUCUAAACACUCACAGCAUGCAUCGCAUUACAUUAUAGUAAUCUAAUAACAAUAUGCAUGUAAAUGUUAUAACACUAGAAUGAUAUUAAUGUUACAAAUUAUGUAUUAGUACCGUAAUUAUAUUCGAUAUCUUAAGAGAGUAGAAUCCAAGAUAAAGCACUUGAAAACUGAAUUCAGCGCGCGAGUCCCAGCAGGGUUAAACUUUUAUUCAUUUCAGAUCAGUUUGCCAGCAUCGUGUUUGCCAGCAACAUUCAUAUGUCAAUGCUUUUCCUCGAAUAGCGAUACGAACAUUAUUUAUCUUCUGCACUGUAUUCUUUUGAGGUUAAACUAUACUGAACAAAGAAAAAGAGUAAACGUCGUGACAACGAUAUUUCCUUGUUUUUUCCUAUGAUUGCGAACGGCAUAAGAACAAACAUGGCUCAUAUGUUACCGUUCCCGUGAAUUCCAAUGAAAAUAUCACUAUCGAACGGCACUGUGUAAAAUAUCUAAUUGUCUCCCGCUCCUUCGUUGAUCGUCGAAAUCGUUCUCUUACCUUUAUCAUUCAUUAUCCAACGAAUACUUUUGCGUUCCCUAUUUUAUUUCGUGUCGAUAUCAUAGUGUUCUUGUUCUCGUUAUGUUACCGAUCGUUCACGUAGACAUUGUGACAGGUGACAGAUCGUCACAAUCUCUAUGUAAUAUCGCGACGAUUGCCAUGGUAUCUUUCGUUAUCACACACCAACGAGACUCUUCGGACGUUUAACGAGUAUAGAGAAUAGGAAUCGAAAUGUUUUUUAAAAGAGAAGAAUACUGUUACUAUUGGGAUCGGUGUAUUACGUGCAUGGUAUGUGUAAUUAUGUGUAUAUGUAUGUAUGUUGUAUUGUGUAUAUAGAAUACAUGUACGUAUGGUACGUGUAUGUCUUAUAUAGUAUAGUGUUGUAUAGUACAACGAUAACUGGCCAGAAUUUCGUUUCGUUAACUAGCUGUUAAUAUUCCCAUUAGUUCUUGGAACCGGCCUCGUGGGCCUCCGAUGUUAUAUAUAUUUAAAACAAACAAAUGUAUCAAGUAUAUCUUACCUCAGUCAUCACUUGGAUUUAAUCAAGAAGAGAAAAUCUUUCUAGAAAUAUACUUCCUUCGAUAACUGGCCAGUUGAAAUCCCAAUAUGUGGCCAAUUAGGGAAGCACUACUGUAUUGUGUCAUGUUUGAAAUGCAGAGCAUCUCGCGUGUUUGUCUUGGUGUAAUACGUGUAAGUGCGGGUAUAAGUGUAAAUGUAAUGCGUGUAAGUGUAAAUAUAUUUGUCUGUAAAUGUAAACGAACAUGUAAGUAUGUGCAAGUGUGUACGUGUGUAUAUGUACUUUAAAGGGUAAUUAUCACAGAAUACACGAGAUAUUUUUUUUUAAGCUUACGAGAUAUUAAUCGAAGCGGAGAGUAGGAGGAAAAAGUGGCGGUCAAUUCCAUCCACGAAGCGCAAUUGUCGACCGACACGGAAACUUCCCAGCGAAAAGAAACACACAGAAGGUUGUUCCCGUUUCGUCGACGGACUUGGCCUGGUUGCCGAAUUUACCAGCCCUUUUUCAUUAAUUAGUAUGUAGUACUUAGGCAGCGGAGAAAAUAGACACUUUUACAAAUGAAGAUGGUGACGAGAUCGCGGAUCCGUGUUUUUCUCUUCCAAUUCUACUUUCCUCCCUUACAUCUCUCUCUUUCUUUUUCAUACGUUGUUUUUUUCUAUUUUCUACUCGUCUAUUUCACUCACGCCAUGCUGUUUCUUCAUCCGAAUUCGAUGCUCGUUUCUAAGCCCGAAAUCGUUUCUCAUCGCAUUCGCUUUUGAAUAAAGAUACACCAGAAUUGAAACAGCGCGAACGUUGUAAAAGAGACGAACCGCAACGCGUUUUGUGCAUGAGGAGCAUUUCGUCGAGGGUCGUUUAGAUCGACACGGAUACACAGAUCCGGGCACAUUUGAAUCUACGCGCUCUAACCACGUCAACGAGUAACGUGCUAACCUUUUCUUUUAUGAAACAAAAUAUGUACGGUAAAAUUAUCACGUAAACUCUAUUUUGUCCUACGAUUUUUCGUAAUGAGAUUCAGAGGUGCAUCGAUUCAUGAAUGAUAAACCAUUAUUUUUUCCUUUUUCUCUUUCAAUCGUGAAACGUAUUUGUAUUCCUGAUGUAAAGUUACGUGGUAAGAGGUAAUUUUGGAAAGAUAUGCGCUUGUAUGUAUAUGUAUAACGUGUUAAUAAACGGAAUUCUAUUCGAAGGUUCUGCGCCUGACCUGUGUCGCGUGUAGACGCAUCAUCCGGAUAUGACGAAUAUCCCGCGCUCGCAGCUACAUCAGCAUUUAUAUACUAUACACAAUACGUAAGUAUAUCUAGACGUACUACGUAGUAGAAACUUUUCUUGUGGAUAUAAUCAUGUAAUCUCUGGAAUUGUAUAUCUGGUUUAACCUGCGAAGGUCAGAGAAUGAAAUUUAUUUAGUUUUAAAGUGGCGUGCAUCUUUUUUUUGUGUUAUUAAUAGUUUCCAUCUUCUGCUUCUUUCUUCUGUUUCUUUUUUUCUUUUGUUUCACAGUGACCGCUUUUCUUUGCCUUUUUAUUCCCAUAUAUAGGUUUCUCGGGAGAUCCGAUCGAAGCUUCGUGCAAGAACUGCGACAUGUGUUCUUAAACAAGUGUUUCCAGAGUUUUCGAACGACAUUAGAUGCGAAACGAAAAACGUUAGGAUGUCUUCCGCGGGGAUCGUUUCCGUUUUGUAGCAGAUUGAGGGACCGUUUAACGCGUCCGCCCUCGAUUUUCUCGAUUUUUCAUUUUCUUUUUAUUCUUCAUAUAUAGUGGGGGAAGUCUUGCAUUAGAGAAUCGCGGCCUCUAAUCUUCGUAACUUAACCAACUGUUCCCACGAGUGGACAAUGUUUGAUCUAUAUACAAGAGUAAUAUCGAUGAGAUAUUUUUAAGCGAAUAGACAAAGAAGUAUCGAUGUCCGUUAUUUUCGAAGCUUGCGUUCCACCUCGUCGUUUACAUAUUUGGUUUUGCACGUUCACACAAAAAGCAAUGAUCGUCGAAAGGGGAAAGUGUCGAAGUUACAUGAUUAUUUAAGUUACCAUACAUCUACCACGAUAUAAAGUUUAAUUUCGAAAAAGUUAGGCUGUCAAUUCGUAGAAAUAGUAGUUUCUGGCUAGAACAGAUCGAAAACCGGAUUCUCUGUUUCACGAUAUUGUACGUAGAAUGAAAAUUGAAGGCGGACGAAAGGAUCCUAACUCGUAUGUUUCUUCCUCUUCUUGUUAUUCUUUCUUUUUUUUUUUUUUAUUUCUUUUCUUCUUCACUGGAACGGAAUAUCGGCUUCUUGUGUACGUGAACAUCUUCAUCGUAUUAAACGUCGUAUUAAAGGUCUUCGAAGCGAGACCCAAAAGGAUGAUUCACGGGGAAUGAUCGAAGUCUUCGAGCGGACCUCGUAAUACGUUUACCAUCAAUAAUCAGACUCUUACGAUCUCUUGUUAAUUCUUACGAUAAGAACGUACUUUACAUUACAAUGCCUAUUUUAUUACUAACGGCGCGUCCCGAGUAACGUCGUGACGCGCCUAUUGGUCGUACGCAAUGCUACGUUAAACUGUUAUUUAGAAAAACUUUUUUUCGUCAACAAUGUGUUUCACAUAUCUACAAGUAAACUCGUCAUUCCGAACAAACGGUCUAAAACGUCGUCUCUCACGAGUGUCUAUAUUUUAUAUAUAGUAUUACAUUUUCCUCAUUGCAGCGCGAUUCGUAUUUUUUAGUUUUCAAAAAAGAAAAAAAACACUCCCGAUUCACGUUUUAUAUUUGCAACGUGUUAGCGAUCACGGACCCCGAUUCGAUCGUUCUUCGUGCUCUUCUUCGUUUUCCUUUUCCUCUAGCUGCAGUCAAGCUGCUUCCGUUUCUUCUGGGAGUCCGUACACGUCGAGGUCUAACCGCGCUGGACGUAUCAUCUACGACUAAUUCGACUCCUUUCCUCUCCUUACGUUACGAAUAUUUACCAAAUAUAUUACGUACUGGCAGCACUGUUUUUACGUGUCGCGUCUGUUCAGAACACUCUUCGAUACCUGAGGUUUCGUAUUUUCCAUUUUUACGGCACUUACUUGAACGAAAAGUCCGUCCGUAUAUCUUCCCAUAUUCUUGACCAAUCAUCAUCCUGUUAUUCUACAUUUCUAUCGCUUUUCCGAAAAGGUAGGAGGAGUCACCCUUCCCCUUUUCUACUCUCUUUGUCCGACUUCCACUAGCUGGAUGAACGUUUCGAUUCGGGGACUUGACUUUCAACAUGUUUACUCGAAAACCUUCUUUCUUUUUCUUUCUUUUGGUUUUAUCUUCUUUUUUUUAUUCUCGGCUCAUUCGGUUUAUAUAGGGGACGGGGCUAAAGCUCUGUGAUUCGUAAAAAAGAGAGAAGAACACGCUCGACCGGAAGCUGAUUGCGAAGGAAGCGAGAAGAAUGAUGUCGCACGACAAGGUCUCUCGUUCCCUCAUUGAUCGACGUUAGCGUUAGAACCGAAAAGGAUUCGGCCGAUCGUCCUUAUCGGUGAUUUUUCUCGCUUAUGUGUUUGCUGCAAUGUGUGUUUCUUAUUUUUAUUUUGUGUCUCACGCGUUCUCGAUAUCGCAUGUGUCUCGCGGUGUUGCUUCGUUUUUUUUUCUUUUAUUUAUUUGCUGAAUUAUUUUGUUUUGUUUGCUUUUUAAAGGCUUCAUUCUCGACAACGACGGCCGAACGCUUCUAUGGUUUCCCCUAUGGACAACGCCCCUCUCCUUCUCUCCUUCGAGCUCUUUCCAAACUCGAAGGACGCAUCGCUUCGCUGUCGUGGCUUAAUGCUGUGACCCUGAGCCUCAGAAUCCUUAGGAUUGUCCAGCCGGUUUCGUCCAUCUGGAUUCGUUUACCAAGCGACAACCA
rnacentral:lncRNA from 11 species